rnacentral:rRNA from 1 species
CACGUAGGGCGCGAGCGUUGUCCGGAAUUAUUGGGCGUAAAGAGCUCGUAGGCGGUCUGUUGCGUCUGCUGUGAAAACUCGGGGCUUAACCCCGAGCCUGCAGUGGAUACGGGCAGACUAGAGGUAGGUAGGGGAGAAUGGAAUUCCCGGUGUAGCGGUGAAAUGCGCAGAUAUCAGGAGGAACACCAAUGGCGAAGGCAGCUCGCUGGAACGGUACUGACGCUGAGGCGCGAAAGCGUGGGGAGCGAACAGG